CACAGUCCAUUGAGAUAUUGCUUUGAUAUUUUGCAUACUUGUUUACCAUCAUGACCCCAGUCUGUAAAAAGGAGGAGGCAACUCUAUCAAGCAUUUUGACUGAAUUAUGGCCCCUUUUCGACUUAGAAUAAAUGUUAAAGUUUGCGUACCACCCCAAAUAUUUUCAAAGUCCAUUGAGAUAUUACUUUGAUAUUUUGCAUACUUGUUAACCAUCAUGACCCCAGUCUGUAAAAAGGAGGAGGCAACUCUAUCAAGCAUUUUGACUGAAUUAUGGUCCCUUUUCGACUUAGAAUAAAUGUUAAAGUUUGCGUACCACCCCAAAUAUUUUCAAAGUCCAUUGAGAUAUUGCUUUGAUAUUUUGCAUACUUGUUUACCAUCAUGACCCCAGUCUGCAAAAAGGAGGAGGCAACUCUAUCAAGCAUUUUGACUGAAUUAUGGCCCCUUUUAGACUUAGAAUAUGCUUGUUGUAAUGUUAUAGUUUUACUCAUAGCUUAUAUUAUACUAUUAAGCACUGAGAAUAGUUGAGCGCGCUGUCCACUGACAGCUCUUGUUUAUUACUGUUGUUGUACUUCUAUUUUUAAUGUUAUUUGUUGGCUUGUGUUUUCAGGAAAAGAUGUUACAGCCAGUGUAUGAAGACUGAACUUUUGAUAGGUCACAGGUGCUCUCGCAAAGAUUGAUGGCCUGGCAGCAUAAACUAUUCUAUGGUGUUGCAGUGGAUUCGGAGGUGAAGUCAUGAGGAGUUGUUGUGAUGGCAGAAGAAUGAGUGAUCAUUUAGCAUUUUGCACAAGGGUGUACGAGUGGUCCAGUUAAACAGAGAUUACAAACAAUUAAAACUAUAAUUUGAUAUUACAUCUACUUGUGAUUGAUGGAAGUAAUUCAAAGUAUCAUUUGGACAGAUCUGAUGAGUUAACAAAUAUUUGAAAGUAUACGAGGAACAUUUUACACACCUUCAAUAUUAGUAUGUUGUAUAGUAAAUAUAAUAAACAAUUAAAGUUGAAAAACUGAA